ensembl:lncRNA
GGACCCCCCCCCUUCAAUCCCUUAAGUCCCCUCCUCACCCCCACCUAGCCUAUCUUUAACCUCUCAUACCCUUCCCUCCCGAGGAGGUGACCGUACAAAAGCCCCUCACGGAGACAGAGCCCUUGAUGGGGGCGCUGGGUUCCCGGGCCACUGCGGACACUGCCCCCUCCCCCUUUCCCUCCUCCAGGUUUCAGGCCAACCCCUCGGCUCCGCCCCCUCCCUGGCGGAACGCUAGGCAGGACCCACUUGAGAUGGGCGGGUGCGCAGGCCAAUGGGCGGGCAGGGCGGUGGAGUGCAGGGGGCGGGGCGGAGCCGCAGCGGAGGGCAGGAUGGGGGUCGGGGGCGGAGCCCGAGUUAAGGUGGACUGGAAGAGAUAGGGGCUGGAGGAGAAAGAGGGAGAGGGAGGGGGAGAGGGACCGCGGCAGGUGGAGGGAGAAAGAGACCGAAGGAAAGAAGGAGGGAAAAAGAGGAGGGUGGGAAAGGCUCGGAGAGCAAAGUAAAAGCUUGGAGGAAGGGAGCGAAAAGGGAGGGAGGGACCCAUCUGCGCCCUGCAGGGACUGGCUGGACCAAGGGGUUGAAGUUUAUAUCCUUAUUGGGCGGAGGGAGGGGGGACCUGGGGGNNNNNNNNNNNNNNNNNNNNNNNNNNNNNGAGGGAUGGGGGGAAAGCCAGCGGGAGGACAGGUGAGACAGCAGGACAGGACCGGAGCAGGGCCCCAAGCCCCCGGGCCCGGCGGGGGACGCGCUUCUCUCCACACCCUGUGCUUCAGCAGUUCCGGCCGGCGGACCCAAAGGCGGAGAGGAAAACAUGGGGAGCCCUGAGGACGACCUCAUCGGGAUCCCCUUCCCCGACCACAGCAGUGAGCUCCUGAGCUGCCUCAAUGAACAGCGGCAGCUGGGCCACCUCUGCGACCUCACCAUCCGGACGCAGGGCCUGGAAUACCGCACCCACCGGGCCGUGCUGGCCGCCUGCAGCCACUACUUCAAGAAGCUCUUCACCGAGGGGGGCCGGCGGGG